rnacentral:rRNA from 1 species
CAGCAGCCACGGUAACACGAAGGGGGCUAGCGUUGCUCGGAAUCACUGGGCGUAAAGGGUGCGUAGGCGGGUCUUUAAGUCAGGGGUGAAAUCCUGGAGCUCAACUCCAGAACUGCCUUUGAUACUGAAGAUCUUGAGUUCGGGAGAGGUGAGUGGAACUGCGAGUGUAGAGGUGAAAUUCGUAGAUAUUCGCAAGAACACCAGUGGCGAAGGCGGCUCACUGGCCCGAUACUGACGCUGAGGCACGAAAGCGUGGGGAGCAAACAGGAUUAGAUACCCCUGUAGUCCCUGUCUCUUAUAC